rnacentral:rRNA from 1 species
UACGGAGGAUCCGAGCGUUAUCCGGAUUUAUUGGGUUUAAAGGGUGCGUAGGCGGCACAUUAAGUCAGGGGUGAAAGACGGCAGCUCAACUGUCGCAGUGCCUUUGAUACUGAUGUGCUUGAAUGUACUUGAGGUAGGCGGAAUGUGACAAGUAGCGGUGAAAUGCAUAGAUAUGUCACAGAACACCAAUUGCGAAGGCAGCUUACUAAAGUAUGAUUGACGCUGAGGCACGAAAGCGUGGGGAUCAAACAGG